rnacentral:rRNA from 1 species
GAUGAACGCUGGCGGCGUGCCUAAUACAUGCAAGUCGAGCGAACAGACGAGGAGCUUGCUCCUCUGACGUUAGCGGCGGACGGGUGAGUAACACGUGGAUAACCUACCUAUAAGACUGGGAUAACUUCGGGAAACCGGAGCUAAUACCGGAUAAUAUAUUGAACCGCAUGGUUCAAUAGUGUAAGACGGUUUUGCUGUCACUUAUAGAUGGAUCCGCGCCGAAUUAGCUAGUUGGUAAGGUAACGGCUUAUCAAGGCAACGCUUCGUAGCCGACCUGAGAGGGUGGUCGGCCACACUGGAACUGAGACACGGUCCAGACUCCUACGGGAGGCAGCAGUAGGGAAUCUUCCGCAAUGGGCGAAAGCCUGACGGUGCAACGCCGCGUGAAUGAUGAAGGUCUUCGGAUCGUAAAACUCUGUUAUUAGGCAAGAACAAAUGUGUAAGUAACUAUGCACGUCUUGACGGUACCUAAUCAGAAAGCCACGGCUAACUACGUG